GUUUGAGUCAAAAAUUCGUCCAAAAACUCAAGUUAUGGCUCCAACCAUUACUAUAAAUAAAACCGCUCAUUUACUGCCUUUGAUUUGGAAGCACCACCUUCAACUCUUUAUAACUCCUUUACAUGAACUCCAAAAUCAAUAAUUUUUUUAUGAAAGUUGUAGACCUUAAAAUCGCCAUUCCAUUUGUACCUUCCGAUCUUCAAAAGCUAUCGUACAAUUCAUUGUAUCCUCACAAGAAUAACAGUAUGUCUUAAAUUAACACUUUAACUUCAAACCACUAUAACUUCUUCACCCUAACUCCAAAUCCUCUAAUUUUUAUACACAAAUUGUAUCACAAAUCCUAAAAUUUACAACCCUCACUUGUAAUCUCCAAAUGCCCUCUUUGAAGUCGCCGAAACCUUUGUUAAGAUCGUGGGUAGCUUCCUCGAAGCCCAUUGAGCAUAAUAUUCGACCAAUAGGGAUAAAGUUUUCCAUUCCUUGCCUUCAUCCAACCAUGCCUUGCUUUCAUCCCUCCCAAUUAGCCUCCUACUAGUUUAGAUUUUCUUCCUUAGGCUUCCACCUUCUCCCAAGGCUUCAUACUAAAUAUUUAGGUUCUAUAUAUUUUUUUUAA
rnacentral:lncRNA from 1 species